UACGAAGGGGGCUAGCGUUGUCCGGAAUCACUGGGCGUAAAGCGCGUGUAGGCGGAUGAGCAAGUCUGCUGUGAAAGCUCCUGGCUUAACCGGGAGUGGUCGGUGGAAACUGCUCGUCUGGAGGACGGUAGAGGCUGGUGGAAUUCCCGGUGUAGUGGUGAAAUGCGUAGAGAUCGGGAGGAACACCUGUGGCGAAGGCGG
rnacentral:rRNA from 1 species